rnacentral:rRNA from 1 species
UACAGAGGGUGCGAGCGUUACUCGGAAUUACUGGGCGUAAAGGGUGCGUAGGUGGUUUUUUAAGUCUGCUGUGAAAUCCCCGGGCUCAACCUGGGAAUGGCAGUGGAUACUGGAAAGCUGGAGUGCGGUAGAGGGUAGUGGAAUUCCCGGUGUAGCAGUGAAAUGCGUAGAGAUCGGGAGGAACACCAGUGGCGAAGGCGGCUACCUGGACCAGCACUGACACUGAGGCACGAAAGCGUGGGGAGCAAACAGG